GAGAACAUCGACAUCUUGAACGCAUAUUGCGGCUACGGGGUAUCUCGUGGCCACGCCUGUCCGAGGGUUGGCUUUUUAUUUAUCGCGACGCCCAAAAUGUCGUGGCUUGGAAAUAGUGCUACCUGGCAAUAGUGAUUGCUUGCUAUUCCUAGAUGUUUACGUUUGUGUAUGUGUGUUUUGCAUACGUAGCAUGGAAUUAGUUGAGCGCGCCAGUAUUAAUUAUGUGGCUCUUUCCUAAUGUGACCGGUCGCAAUCAUACUCAAAUUGUGUAUUUGAGUGGAAUUGUGGUAGCGGCUUGUGCUCAGGUUGUGGCUUAGUAUAGUUGUUGAUCAUGCCUGAGGUUGCUAGUUGUUACUGUAAUUCGGUUUAAAUGCUCAAUGUGGUUUAUUGAGUGUGAAAUAACGACUGACGAUGCAAUGUUUCUUUGCCUAACCUCGGAUCAGACGUGAAUACCCGCUGAACUUAAGCAUAUCACUAAGCGGAGGAAAAGAAACUAACCAGGA
rnacentral:rRNA from 1 species